rnacentral:rRNA from 1 species
AUUUGGUUGAUCCCGCCGGACCCGACUGCUAUUUGGGUGAGGAUAAGCCAUGCAAGUCGAAUGGGAUACCUAAAUUUCCCAUGGCGAACUGCUCAGUAACACAUGAUCAACUUGCCCUAUAGAGAGAAAUAACCUCGGGAAACUGAGGAUAAUUUUUCAUAGUUGAAUUGGCUUGGAAAAGUUUUUCAAUAAAAAGGAUAAAGAGAAUGGUCUUUAUUCGCUAUAGGAUAGGAUCGUGUUCGAUUAUGGUAGUUGGUGAGGUAAAGGCUCACCAAGCCGAUAAUCGAUAGGGGCCGUGAGAGCGGGAGCCCCGAGAUGGGUACUGAGACAACGACCCAGGCCUUACGAGGCGCAGCAGGCGCGAAACCUCCACAAUACACGAAAGUGUGAUGGGGUUACCCAAAGUGUUCAAUAUUGAACUGUGGUAGGUGAGUAAUGUUCCCUACUANAAAGGAGAGGGCAAGGCUGGUGCCAGCCGCCGCGGUAA